rnacentral:lncRNA from 1 species
CCGGCUCCAGGUUUCCCCUCCCAGCGUGGGGUGGCAGCCUGGAGAGGCAUCUGCAGAAACCACGCGAGCCCCGGGGAGGAGAGCCCAUGGUGCACACAUAGGCGCGUGUCGGGGACCCCAAGCCCCUGGGCCCCGGGCACACUCGCAGAACCGCUGCAGGGACGUGGCCCAAGCUGGAAUUGCCCUGCGCACAGGCCAGGACCUUUGGGAGCAGCGACUGUCGAGAUAAGGUCAACGGCGGGCCCGCGGUGACUCAGCUCCCCUUGGCCCCGAGGAAGCUCGGCUGGCCCGGGGGGGCGGGGCCUGCGACGCUCCGCCCCCUGCUCCGGCUCCCGGAAGGCGCCCCACACCACCCCCAGCUUCCCAGAGGCGCCCAGAUUUCCCACGGGUUUUCCUGGUGGUGUCGUAACGAGCCCGGCCCUUUCGGAGCGUCCCAGGGCCCCGAGUCAGCUCCCUGUGACGGGACACAUGAGGAUCUGAGCGCCGCACGCUCCCUGACUGUGUGUGUGCGUGUGGUAAGGAAAAGCAAGCUUACCUACUCCAAGAAGAGACUGGAAUCUGCCAGCAUGAGCUGGAUCUCAUGUUUUCAUAUUGUAGGACAGGCUACAAGAGGACAGGGCCAGACCCUCUGAGGCUUCCUCCCACCCCACUUCCUGUUUCAUCCAGAUGCCAACAUCCACGUGGACUAAUCUGCCGAGAUCAUUCCUGACCUCCAGCAUCACAAUUUCCAAACCUGUUCAGUGUUCCCCAGCUUCUCCUGCCUGACUCGCUGCAAGGUCAGAGAGCCUCUGACAUCUUAGCCUCCUACGUCACAUUAAAGGCCUCAGUGUCCCCUUUCUAGGUUCUGGGCCUCCCUCCACUCCUGCUCUUGAACCUUAACAAUGACUUUUUUUGUGUAUCGGACUGGGGAUUGAGUUACAGCCCAGCCCAUGUUUUAUUCUGAGACAGGGCCCUGCUAAAUUGCUAGUUCCAGGCUAGGCUGGAACUUGCUCUGAUCCUCCUGCUUCAGCCUCCCCAGUGUUCGGAUUACAGGCAUGCACCACCACGUCUGUCAUCAACAACCUUCUGUCCCGACUCAUUUGGAUCAUCUGGACAACCAACCACUUUCUCCAGCCCUAUGUUAGUUAAAGUCAUGCUAUUUGCUAAAACAAACACAUCCCAAACUGUGUAUCAGCUCAACCUAGUUCAUUUCCGGAUUGCAGAACGCUUCUGAGCAGGGAUGCCCGUCCUCCAGGUGAUGAUCCAGGAGCCGGGCUCCGCCAUCUCCAACGUGUGCUUUCCAGGGCUGUCAGGCCGGUGGCUUAGCAGCAGCAGAAAUUUAUUUCCCUUGGUUCAGGGGGCCAAAAGUCUGAGAUCAAGAUACCAACAUGCUCAGGCCCCGGGGGGCCCCUCCUCUGAGCUUCAGACUGCAAACUCCUCCUUGUGUCUCACUUAGGAAGAGACAAGCAGCUCGCUGGCUUCAUUCUACAGGUACAAUCUCAACCCAAAGGCUCUGCCCUUGGGUCCCAAUUACCUCCUAAUACUCCCCCUCCAAAUACUUUUACAGUGGGGGCUUGGGGAGGACACAAAAGUUCAGUCCAUAAAGGCGCAUCAGACUGGACGGAGGGGAAGGGCAGGGUGCAGAAGACACAGCUGCUGGUUCACUGCCCUGGCUGGGAGUGACAUCUCAUUCCUGGUCACCGUGCCAUCAGCAAGACAUCCGGGGCGUCCUGACUCCUCUGAAAGUCACAGGUGUGUGGGGAGUGUGGUGUUCUGGGAAGCCCUUGCUGGCCAGCCUCAGCUGCAGUGUGUGGACAGGUGGGGUGGUACUUUCGGGUGAAGUCAGUUCUCUCUGCUCCAUUCCCUUCCCUUCCCUCCACCACACCCUCCCACCAAGGCCCAGCCCAUACUACAAGUCAGUCAACCUCCCUGAUGGAAUCCUUUGUCCUGGAGAAAGCUGGAGGUGGACAUAUCGGUGCAGAUGAAGAUUUAGGACCCUGAAGCCAGCGAGGCUCUGCAUUGCUGGUACCAGGGAUCGAACUCGGGACUUUGUGCUUUCGAGGCAGGUGGCGGCACCACUGAGCUACAUCCCCGGCCUGUGGGCUCCGAUUCUCAUUUCCCACAAGUUUCUUAAUAACCCUGCUGGCCCAGCCCCUGCCCCAGCCUCACUCAGCACAGGAGAACUUAGGGGCCAGAAUGCUAAGAUGCCCCAGUGCCCCCCCCGCCCCCGGAGCAUGUCCAGCCUUGCACCCUGGCCUCUCCCCAG